CACCCUCACAUCAGUAGAAUCUUCCAUGAUGCCCUUGUCCUCUUGCUGGUGAACUACUGCACUGGUCUGUCCAUGUCGGCCAGUUUCCGGAGUUCCCCUUACCGUUCCCUGCAUCUCGCAGGGUCCACAGAAGGCACAAGAACUACUUCCCCAGUGAAUGCAAAGAGAGAAUGAGACUUGUGUGUCAGGCCAGGACAGGAGCAAGGACUCUCUGGAGACCCUGAUGUGAGCAAACCAGCCCGUCAUUACUUGCAGUGUGGAUGCGGAUAAUGAAAUGCCUGAGCAAAACUGUGUCACAAUAAUAAAACGUCAUCUGAAAAGAUGACGGUAAUUUAGGAAUCGCCACUCCCACGCCCCCAACUACAGCUACAUCUAAAAGUCUUCAGCAACUGAAUUCUACCCAAGGGACACACAGAAGAGUGACAGCUUUGACCUUCUAACCUCAUCAGACCAUCCCUGCUUCUGACUCUGGUCACACCGAGCCUCGAGCCUCUCUACUUUCCUCGAAUGGGAUGUCCCUUCCUUUCUCACAGACUUUAAACUUGCUAAUUUCUCCCCUUUAAGAAAGAGUCUUUUUAGUGUCGUGCUGGAACCAAGUCAGGACAGCCUGCGUGCUCACCUUUUAGGAGUGUUUGUUUGCUGGUUUUUAAGCCAUUGACCUUGUAGGUCUAGUCACAAAUUUCAAUCUUAAUGUAAUGCAGAUUUAAAUGGCUCAUUCUGGCAGCAGUGUGAAGAAUGACCUGAAGGGCUACGAGGAGAAUAGUGCAGAGGGAAGGUACUGCUGAGACCCACGAAGGUCUGAUGCUCC